AACGUAAUGUUACGGUGGCCAAAUUAACAACUCAUGCAGAAACCAUGAAAGGCGUUGGUUGCUUAAAACAGCAGGACGGUGAUCAUGGACGUCGAAAUCCGCUAAGGAGUGUGUAACAACUCACCUGCCGAAGCAACUAGCCCUUAAAAUGAAUGGCGCUUAAGUUGUAUACCUAUACAUUACCGUUAAAGUAGAUGAUUUAUAUUACUUGUGAUAUACAUUUUGAAACUUUAGUG
rnacentral:ncRNA from 1 species